rnacentral:rRNA from 21 species
CGCCCCAAGAAAAAAUAUUUUGGGUCCUGCCUGCCCGGUGACUAUAGAAGUUAAACGGCUGCAGUAUUACUGACUGUGCAAAGGUAGCAUAAUCAUUCGCCUGUUAAUUGCAGGCUUGUAUCAACGGCUAGACGAUAGGAAAGCUGUCUCCUUUUACUGUUUCUUAAUUUAGUUAUAAGGUGAAGAGGCCUUAAUAAGUUAGCGGGACGAGAAGACCCUAUAGAGCUUUAUUUAAAGAAUUAUAGAAUGAUAAUUUAGAAAUUUGGUUGGGGCAACUGCCUCUAUAAUUAAGACAGAGGCUUAACUUAAGAAAGUUGAUUUCAUUGACCCAAAAGAAGUUUGAGAAAAAGAAAAAGUUACCUUAGGGAUAACAGCGUAAUUUUCUUUGAGAGUACUUAUUGACAAGAAAGCUUGCGACCUCGAUGUUGGAUCAGAAAAACCUGGAUGUGCAGCAGCCUCCAAAGGUUGGUUUGUUCAACCAUU